rnacentral:tRNA from 1 species
GGCCCCGUCGUCUAGCGGCCUAGGACGCUAGGUUCUCAUCCUAGAAAUCACGGGUUCAAAUCCCGUCGGGGUCACCA